CACUGUGGCCGCUGCAGGAGGGAGCCUGUGUCUGCCCAGAACACACGCUGUGGCCCCCAGGCAGCAAACUCCACCCACCUUUGGAACCAGGAUGAGUCCACACACCUGGUAAUACCCCGCCUGUUGUCUCCAAGCUUCUAGCUGGGAGCUGGUAUUAAGCUCACACUGAGGGGAUGCUGGUGGCAAGAGCUCAGCCCCUGAACAUGACACCCUUCUCUACCUGGAGCCCUUCCCAAGCUCUCCAAGCUUCCCGAGACACCUGAGACUGAUGUCUGUCAUUCCAGAGAAGGCUCUGCCCCGGGGCAGGGAAGACGAGGCUCAGAACCAGCAAGUGGACUGGCACUGCCAGGCACUACCAGAGUGCCCAGGCAGGAUGGCAUCUUCCAAGGAGAGCUCCUCCCUGCAGACACCUGCACCUUGGUGACUGUCUCCACUUGGUAGGAAACAGGUUGAGAGGGAUUCAUUUGUCCCAAACCUCACACUGCUUAGAUGUGGCAGGGAUUCGAAACAGGUCAUCUUCAGUCAAAGCCCAGUCCCUCUUUAGAGCACCCAGUUCCUCUUUAGAGCACUCAACUGUCUCCUUUGCUUACAUCCUGAUGGAAGGGCUGUCUCCUCUGCCAUCCACUCUGUGGCCCCCUCAAGGCUGGCGCCUUCAGGGCAGGACUGGGCUGGCCCAGUGGCCUUGGCCUGGCCUCUCAUUGGAGGACAAGCUGCCUGCCUGUGUGGGCUCUUUCUCGGCUGAAAAGCCAGAUGGUACCCGAUGGUGGGCAGAGUUCCAAGUAUUUGAUGCCAGAGCUGCAACCCUUGUGGUUUAGGGGGAAGGGGAAGAUAAAUAUUGUGGAAAACCCACACAGUCAUUUGCCUAAUGAUUAUGAGCCAUCAGGGUUUAUAGAGGACAGCCCGGCUCUUCACAAGCCUGACGGAGGACCACGGAAUCUAGCACCUGCACAUCCAGAUGCAAAUUGGUGGUGCUGGAGAAAGAGACGGGUGACGAGCUGUCUGUGACUUCACGGCAGUGGACGGAUUCCAGCUGCUCCCUUCUACUUCUGCCCCCCAAAGACAGAAGUGCUCUGGCACUUGCGGAGGGGAAGCUUGUCCUGGCAGCGAGGACCAGAGGAUGACCCGCCCACUGGGAAAGGAGGGGCUGGCUGUGCAUGGAGUCUGUCUUGCAGAAGCAGCAGCCACUAGCUGUGGUGGGCUCUGGCCAUCAGCAGGCUAAGGCCCAGGGGAGGGUUGUGUGCCAAAGCCCCGCCACAGGCCCAGCAGUGGCGUCCACCUGUAAGCAGUUUCCCUCAUUGCAACCUUCAGGGAGCAACCACGCUGCGAUGGGCCAUGCUGGCUCUAGACGGAAAGGUGAACGAGACGCAGCCCGUGCCCUGAAGGAGCUCACAAUGAGGUCAAGGAACGGAAUAAUCAUAAAAGCCCAAUUAAUGCCAUGGCAGGGGGUGAGGGAAGAGGGGUCCUGAGCUCAGUGUGGACUAGACGAACGCUCCUCUGACUCCAAAGCAAGGCACAGGCACGUGGUGGGCCAGGCCGUGACAGCACUCGACGUCUGGGGAUGACACUGGCGGGGUGGGGUGGGGGGGUGUCUGGGGGAGAGAGAAGGCUCCAGGAGACUGGGGCAGACCAUGCCACGUGAGGGAGUUUAGACUUUGCUUUCUGGAGAGGAGCUUCUGUGGGGUUUUAAGCAGGGAGAUGGCAAUCAGACUGCCCUAAAAUCAGGGUUGACACAGAAAACCUUCAUGACCCUGGGGCAGUUCUGCUGUGAGGCGCUGGGUGUGCACACCAGGGAGGGGGCUGUGACAGGCUGUCCCUCGUCAUGGAGCCGUGGGGCGGGACACUCCUAACAUGAUGAGGUUUUUAAAAGGGACUUUGAUCCUUUGAACUAGGAGUAUAGACAGGGGUAGGGGGAGAUCAGGGAAUUUCAUUCCCAUCCUAUCGGACAGAGGAGGGAAAAGGCCAUCCUAGGCCCUCCUGGGGAACCUGAUGGGAGACAGAGCGAGGAAUGCCCACUUUCUAGGGCAGGCUCUAGAGAAGCCUUUCUUCCCCACGGCAGGAAGAAAAUAGGGACUGUGAGGAAAGGCAGGGCUCUUAUAGAGGGUUUGGCAGCUCUGAAGAGCAUGAAAACCUCUUUUCCCGGCUCUCCUCGGCCGAGUUAACAGAUCCAAGGACCAAAACUCCUCUGGGCACUACAGGCGUGGCUUACUGGCUCUCAUGUUUUAGUUUUUGAGAUCUCUCUACAAAAACAGCUCUUUUAGUAUUUAUGCUGGAUGUCAAGGAGGAGGGAGGGGAUGGGUGCACGGCAUUAUUCUCCCCGACGGCUGUGCCUGGAGAGGCUGGGUCUGGGUUAGCCGGGGUCACAGUAUACCACUAUCUUAUACCAGUGAGAAGGCCGGGGCAUGUCUUGCUUGGCCACAUAACUGCUGGGGGCUGGGCUACCACUGUUGGGGCCAGGCUAGGGGUCAACUUGAUCCUCACAGGUCCUAAGAACAAGAGAGCGUGAGAGGAACAGGUGGGCUGUGUCGCAAGUGACAGAGGAUGGGGGACCCUCUGAGCCAUCAAUCUAGCCCCUCAGCUCCCUUGGGAAAAAACACCCACACCUCCAACCACCUGAUUCUGCCAGGAAUUGAACUGCUCAGAACAUUCAUUGGUGGUGAUGUGUGUGCCCAUGGGCCUCGGAACCCAUGAGGCCGCUUGCGUCUCCAGUAACCAGCUGGCAUCUGAUGGCUUUUGGUGCCCAGAGUCUAGCUGUCAAUCCCCCGCCCUGCCCUGGGAACAGGAGGAGGCAGUGCCAUCGCCCUCUGUUGCCCGGAGCUUGUGCGUCACUCAAGGAGAGGUGCCAGGCGAUCACUUGAGAUGCUCUCGGCAUCUUCCCUUCCUCGGUCCAUGCUCUCGGCGCAGGAAGAGCAAUGGCAGUGGGAACGCUCCAGCAGGAGCUGGAGGAAGCAAGGGAGGGAAGUCAGGUGCCCAGAACACGGGUGCCCUGCAGAGAGGGCUGCACAGGCCCAGCUGGCUCCACCCCUUUUCUGCUGACGUCUGGCCUUGAAAUAGACCGGGAACUGAGUAACCUUGGAGGCGGGACGGAGGGGAGAUGGCAUAUCAAGCUGGCUGAUUAAUGAGCUCUCUUGAAGCGGGUUUGAGAAGUGACAUCAGCAAGCCCCCAGCUUCCUCCCUAGUCGGGGGUCAGAGUGAGAUGCCCUCUCCGGGGAGCUGGCACGCUGCGGGGUCUAGAGCCCCCAACCAGCAGCUUCAGAGGAAGCUACAGGGGAAGCCUAGAGCACCACCCGCUAGGGACAUGGGAGGUACCCGUCAGCCGCAAGUGACAAAGCAGCCUCCAGCCAGUGGGCACGCACAGCCCCUCUUCUCUCUGGCAGUGCCUUAGGUGUGGACUCCAGGAUGUGGCAGCACCUGUAGGUUGCCCAGCCCCUCUCCUUUCCCUGCAAAAGGCAGGCACGGGAAGCCCUUGACAGCUGCCUCCACCAUGGUGCUGUGGGAAGCAGUUCCUGAAGGAAGACCAGAGUAGGCCUCUCCCCGGGAGACCUUUUACUACCUCGACAGAUCUGCGCCAGCAGGAUUUCUCAAAGGGAAAAGCACACAGAAUUCUCCUCAGAACUGGUUGAAAAUGCGGAUUCCUGGGCCCUGUGGCCUUCGAAUAUACUGCAUCAGGCCUGGCGCAGGACCCAAGCAUCUACAUUUUUAUUAAGAGCCCGAAGGCACUCUUGUGCCAGUGGUCAGGCAACCAGAUCUUGAGAAACACUUUCCUGAUCCAGGGGAAAGGGACCAGCUGGGAAGUGUUCCCAGAGACUGUUCACCUGCCUCUCAGGUGAAGCACAGCCUCCCUGCAGUAGUGUGGGAGAAGGCGCCAGAACUGGACAUUACAGACCGCAGGGGCCUCCCGGCCUCAGCCAGUGCCCAACACCCAAUACCAGUCCCUGCAUUCUCUUCCCAUCAAGGUGUUCAGAAAAUGUCUCAAUCCAUGGUUGAAGGAAGUUCUUGCCAUUGCCAAACUACACAUGCCCUGCGGUGGCUCAAGACCCUUCUAGAGUCACACUCACAUGGGGUAUCUGCUGCCACACCCCCAGUGCCUCCUUUUGUGCCUGAGGCUUAUGAAAAUGUUCCUUGGUCCACUGUCAGCGAAUCCACAAGACAUCCGGGCUUAUGCUAAUUCAUCCGAUAUCAUCAUUAAUGUGCACCCUAAUCGUUCAGCUCUGUGUAAGGGCCAUCAUAGCCGAGUCCCUCGCACCUCUCUGCUGGCUGUAAACCCUCUGGGGUUCUGUGGCUCCUCUCCUCAGGGCCAGGGUGCACUGCACAGCGCACACUCAGCUAUUUCUUCUCUGCACACAGGUGCUGCUUUUGAGCCAGUGUGCAGGGCCAGCACCGCUGGCUGGGACACUGGCCACACGAAGGAUCACGGCUAUUACUUUUGAGUGAGUGCUUUAUUUAAUUAAACAAUUACUGCUAGGGCCCUGGGGCGCUAUAUAGAAAGACAUCAGGCUCUGCUUAUGAUACACACCCUGUAACAGAGCAAGCAUCAUUCAGGGAAUAGCACAGCCUCACAAAACUUGGCAGGGCCACCACAAAUGCCACAGACUGAUCUACAGGAUAAAAGGAGCAGCCAGACACGGAGCAGAAGACAAACAGUUUGGCAUAUACAGUUUUCAUUUUAGUUAGCACAAAAUAUUGAAGAACAUUCCAUGUUACUCUCAAACUACUGGGAGGUUGCUAGAUUCCACAGACUAUGGAGUUUUUUGACACUUUUAUUUUGUGAAAUGAAGAAAAAAAUAAAAAAUAAAAAAGGUGGCAGGGAGAGAUCUGAAAUCAACAACUGGGAUGUACUCUUAACAGAUAUAAUAAAAACUAUUUUUAGUUCUUUGCCCAGAAAUGGGAGUUCUGGAAGCAGCGGGGUGCACAGUGUGGGAUGGACUGGGCUGUUGAGCUUUGGGAGUCUGCCCGGGGCUCAGCUUCUCGAGGGGAAUGACUGGAAAUGCAUGUGCACGCACAGGUCAGUGGCCAGGAUCAGCCCAGGUGGCUUGGGAAGUGAGGCACACCGGGUUUUUAUCCCUGACUGCACCACUCACAAACAAGGAGGGCUUAGGCCUCGGGCUCGGGGUCUGACUGGGAUCAGGAUGAGACCUGCAAAGAAACGGUCCUGAAAAAGCUCAGCGCAGAAGGUCCCCAGCAGGGAUGGAUACUCCCCCACUGAGCCCUGCCUGGAAGCUUCCCAACCAAAUUGGCCUGUGCACAGGUGUGGGGCUCGGGUAUAUACUUAUCAAGCUCCGCGGAGCUCUCCCAGCUCAGGGAUGUGGAUGGGGAGAGGGGAAGGGGAAUCGCUGGUUACUGCUUUCAGGUGGGCUGCCUAUGAUGUCCACCCCAAGCCCUGCCUGCCUGUUUCUCCAGCAACAUCAACCGGGCUUUGGGGUUCUGCACCUUUGCCUAUGAAUACACGGAUAUCUCCCUUUACACAAGAGAAGGGCUCCUGAAGUUCUUUUACAAAUGCUUAAUUUUCACAGAACAACAUUUAAAUACACUAGGGAAACUGAGUACUUAAGAGAAAUCUGAAGCAAAUCCUUCUGUAAAGUAAGGAAUCACUUUGUAACAAGUAACUACCCUCCCAAUUUAUUUCAUACCUUUGGAUUUUCAUAUAAUGGGGUUCCUAGGAGUUAAGAAUGCUGGGUGUGUGUGGGUCAAGGUCAUGGCAACAGAUCAUUUCCCAUCUCCAUUCACUUCCUGGGGGAAUUGGUGAAUGGGGGUGGGGUGAGGGAUGAGCAACCAGGUAAGUUACACUGCCGUUUUCCCCACGUGCCCGGGAGUAAACCUGGCUUGCUGCGGGUAGGAAGUCUUUGCAAGGCUAUACUCAUUAUUUUACAGACAAUGGAGAUGGGGUAAAGAAAUAUGGUUUAGGCUAAGCACCCCAAAUCCAAAAUUCCAACACCUGAAAUGCUCCAAAAUCUGAAACUUUUUGAGCACUGACACGAUCCUCAAAGGAAAUGCUCACUGGAAUAUUUUGGAUUUUUGAAUUUAAGAUGCUCUACUGUGAGUAUAAUGCAGAUAUUCUAAAAAUCUGAAGAAAAUCUGAAAUCAGAAACGCUUCUGGUCCCAAAUAUUUUGGGGAAGGGAUACCCAACCUGCACAUUCUACCAGGGCCAGAGACACCCAACUGUCAUGCUGUGAAGGGGGCUAUGUCGGUCACCAGCUUAGAAGCAAGAACAUAAGACCCUGUCACCCCUCAGGACCUUGACAGAGGCCCAUGAGCAGCUUCCGAGCUGGGUAAGGGAGUGGUAGGGAGAAGAAGCCACUGCCUGCUGCUUUGUGACACUGAGUCCCCCAGUCUGGCACCUGUACUGAGACCAUAGAGGCGGUGGCACGGGGGACUAGGCAUCAUCCUCUCAACUGGCGCAUAGGUAUUGGCCAAGGUGGGGACAGGUCAUAGGUCGUGGGGCAUGAUGGAUGGUGGGCAUAAUGCCAGUCAACCGAACCCACGUCCCUGAGAGUGACAUUAAAAACAAAAACAGCAACCCUCUCCCUGAGCAGGAGGAGAAAGCAUGGGCACUGGGGAUGAGGGUGGAGGAGGCAGUCACAGGGUGACUCAGGGAGGCGUCACCCAGGUGUCCUCAGCAAGGUGAAGGGACAGGCUGGAGCAACUCCGGGAAGAAAGGAGGGACAGGGGCCGUGCUCAGACAGGAGCAGCAGUGGCGGAGGAAUGGGUGGGGUGGUGGGGGUUCACGCUGUCCCUGGCUAGGAGCUAGAGAGACAAGCUGCAGUGUGGGAGUGAGUGACAGGCAACCUGAAUUUCAUUUAGGGAGGGCUGGGGUAGGGGGAUGGAAAGCACACGGAAGACAAGAAGCCAUUCCUGGUCUAAGAUAUAUAGACAGCUCCUAGGGAAAAAAAGCAAGCAAGCAAGAACAACACAGGCCUGUCCCUGUAUUAUUGAUUUCCUUGAAAAAGAAAGAGACAAGCUAAUCCUUUGAGGUCACCAUUUCAGCCUGAGCGCAGUCGCUGUCUGAAGUUAGAGUUCACCCAGGUUAGACUCCCAGCUCUGCUUGGGUGGCGGGUACGGGCACGCACAUUUUUGGGGUGCGGGGAAGAAACACAUUCUUCCUUGACACCCAGUCUCACGGGAUGACUGCAGAAGGCUCAGCAUGUGUGGGACAAACAGGACCUGGCACAUGCAUCUCAGGGGCUCACAACCCCACACCAAAGCUGGCUGAAGACACCUCAAAGGCUCAGCAUAUGUGGGACAAACAGCACCCGGGACAUGCAUCUCAGGGGCUCACAACCCCACACCAAAGCUGGCUGAAGACACCUCGAAGCCUCACCGAGUCCAGCUCCUGGUGGUGGUGGGCACGGGUUAGAACGACUGCACGCAGUGCACCUGCGGUGCCACCAGGUGUGACGGACAUCUCUCCAUAGGCGAGAGGGGAGGAAAAGGUGAAAGGCAAAACAAACCCGACCUUUCUAGAGUCUCCAGAACUGAAUGAGGAGGAACUGACAAGAGGUGCGUUGGGAGGGAGAAGAAAAGGAAAGGAGAGAAGAUGGGCUUCCCGGGUCACCCCAGUGAGCCCCUACAUGGUCGCCAUCCUAUAAAGGAGGCACUUGGAUGUCCCCGACCCUGGAAGCAACACCCUUCCCCCUCCAGGCGUCCUGGAGUCUCCUCCUGACUCGUCUUGGUUUGGUGUGAGGCUGAGUCCUAACUCACGUGAACCACAUGAGAGGGUGGAUGUUGCCCAGGAAGGGACACUCUUGACAGGCUGUCUGCUUUCUGGGCUGAGGGUCCUGCAUUCCGUUUCUAGACGGGCCAACCCACUAGACUCCUAAACAGAGACAGCUUGCUUAUCCUGUCCACUUUCUUGCCAGGCCCUCCCCAGGCCACCUUUCCUGUUUGACUGCACUUCACUCAAUCCCGGGCUGGACGCUGCAUAAACUCGGGGGCAGUGUUCACUGUGUUCUACUGGAGUUGUGCCCUGGGGGCACCACUGACGUUGAAAGCAACAAGAGUGGUGCCUGGGAGGCAGGCGGCACAGUGUCCCCAGAGUCUCCAAGUCCAGUGAAGUCACUGCUGCUCCUCAAACUUGUUGCUUCACUAAUUUUCCUUCCUCACUGGUCCUGAAGGCCUCUAAGCCACCUCCUGCCCCAGCACUGGCAAGAAUAAAUAUUCAAGUGAAGGCAGCGUUGACCCACUUAUUAACAGAUGCCACAGCCCCAGGGCACAGUGGCUGACGCUAGAAGAACAGAGACCAUGGCAGGGGAAGGAAGUGUCCUUGGGAAGAGGCACUUAAUUCUAACACUACUUGAGUGCCCAGGAAAAGCUGGCCUUGCUAUCUAGGAGUGAGGGGCACCAGGGCAGACAGGGCAUCAAUCAAGUCGGUGACAAUGAUGGGCAGACGUGCAAAGGCGCUCACUCACCAGGGAACAUGCUCAGCCGGGUCACCCCACCAACUUGAAAAUGUCAGGCUUCCAGGGCUGAGAAGAGGUGCUCCAUGCCCCAGCCUGCACAUGGCAGUGGGGGCCACCGCCAAGGCAGGGCCUAUGGAACUGAGUCUUGGGCAAGUGGAGCAAGCCUGUGUCACCAGGGCAGGACAGAGCUGAGAGGCCAAAGAGCUGAGCUGUUGUCUGUCUGCUUCAGCUCCGGGAUCCCAGGAAGCCCCCGUCUCUCAGUCAGUUUUCCCUGCUGUGAAAUGGGAUGACGCUGUGUACUUUACUGUGUGGGUGGGAGUCAAAAGUCACUGGUAUGUGCUACACCGAUGCAAGGUAAACCGUGGGAGGGCGGGGCACUCACAGCACGCAUGGCACUGCCAGGUGGGCACAUCACUCCCUCUGCACCCUCAUGAAAAGGAUAUUUUCUCCUUGAGUGGUACUAUUUUAGGAGGAAAGCAUUUGGUUUUGAAAUGGGGACUGCACACCAUUUUAAGUGUUGCAAAUGGACAAAGGCCAGUGUUGCCAUGUGAGAGGGAGGCCAAGAUGGAAUCCUGGCAGAGCGAGAAAAAACAGGGCUGUCGCAAACAGGGCUGGAAGGACCCUUGACCCUUCCGGUGUCAACCUGAGCCUGAAUCUGAGACUGACCCGGCCCUCUAGGAAGAGAGGCCAGCAGACAGAAAUCCCCCUGGCCCUCCACUUCUUCAAGGGGGUGUCCGGAGGGAGCUUGGGAAGACUCUCUCUGUCACAAGGGGUGGCAGGGCACUGGCCAGGCACUUGCAGGCUGUAUCCCUCUCCUGAGUCACCUGUGCCCCGGAGGUGGAUCUCACAGCUCCUGUG
rnacentral:lncRNA from 1 species